UUUCAAACAACCGCGGGAGGACGUCGUGCGUGCAACGACCGUGUUGCUCCACGCCGAAGCCCCGUCCCCGCGGGCGGGGCACUCGUGCGCGUCGCACGGCCUAACGAACCCCGGCGCGAAAAGCGUCAAGGAACACUCAAAACGCCGCCCGCCCUCGGUGCCCCGUCCGGGGGGUGCACCCGGGGGUUGGGACGCUGUUCGAAAUAAAAA
rnacentral:misc_RNA from 1 species